rnacentral:rRNA from 1 species
AAAUUGAAGAGUUUGAUCAUGGCUCAGAUUGAACGCUGGCGGCAGGCCUAACACAUGCAAGUCGAACGGUAACAGGAAUCAGCUUGCUGAUUCGCUGACGAGUGGCGGACGGGUGAGUAAUGUCUGGGAAACUGCCUGAUGGAG